AUUGAACGCUGGCGGCAUGCCUUACACAUGCAAGUCGAACGGCAGCACGGGUGCUUGCACCUGGUGGCGAGUGGCGAACGGGUGAGUAAUACAUCGGAACGUACCUUAUCGUGGGGGAUAACGCAGCGAAAGCUGUGCUAAUACCGCAUACGCCCUGAGGGGGAAAGCGGGGGAUCGCAAGACCUCGCGCGAUUAGAGCGGCCGAUGCCUGAUUAGCUUGUUGGUGGGGUAAAAGCCCACCAAGGCGACGAUCAGUAGCUGGUCUGAGAGGACGAACACCCACACUGGGACUGAGACACGGCCCAGACUCCUACGGGAGGCAGCAGUGGGGAAUUUUGGACAAUGGGGGCAACCCUGAUCCAGCAAUGCCGCGUGAGUGAAGAAGGCCUUCGGGUUGUAAAGCUCUUUUGUCAGGGAAGAAACACCGGCUCUAACACAGUCUGGGAAUGACGGUACCUGAAGAAUAAGCACCGGCUAACUACGUGCCAGCCGCCGCCGUAA
rnacentral:rRNA from 1 species